CACGCUGUAGGUCACUUGCGGUGCUUGUUCCGUAAUAUCGUUCAUCUAUACUCGUUCAUUAACAUGCACUCGCCUGUAUUAUAAUCGAUAACAGAUAACACAGAGUUCGGUUUUGUUUCAGCUGCUACUGCAGUAGUCGUUCGAGUUCACUGGCGAAACGGUCAAAACUUGCUCCGGUCCACCCACUACUCGUAAUUAUGUCAAGGACCUUCAAAGCCUUCUCUUCGUCCGCACAUAACAUCCUCAUAGUAUAUAAGGCCGAUUAACCAACCGGGCCGAUCACGCCAGAGAUAAUUCUUUAUAUCGAACAGUCGACGAGGCAAAAUCUCCAAGCUGCUGCAGCGAUCGCGUGCUUUGGCAUUAAACAUUUUUAUUGAUUCCUUUUUUUUUUUUUUUUUUUUUUCUACACCUAUAGUGUCGCGUAUUCUGGUAGCUAACGAGAGAUCUGUUUGAUUUUCAGGGCGUUUCUGUUCCAGGGUUAAAUAUGAAUUGAUUAUAACACGUCCACACGAAGUCACAUGUACGUUCAAAUAUCUAUCGAAAAUUACACGGUACACAAGUGAUCGCAAAUUUGUAUUUCACGAGUUGUGAAUUGUGUAGAACAAAACUGUCUUUAUAAAAUACAGCUUUCGUUAUGUUCAAUUUUGCAGAGGGAUUGAUUUAUGAAUACAAUUACGCGGGUACGAAUAUGAGCCUAGUUUCAUAUCGGUUUCAAUUUCGUAAUCAUCUGCAUACCUCAAGAUAGAAAUAAGAUGAAAAAAAAAAAUUAAACAAACCGACCUGCGUGUACACGAGAAAAAGGAGAUAACGAAAUGUCACAUGCGGUUUUGUAACGCUUACAAUCAGACCCACCAGAGAUACACACGAUUGAUAUUCAGGUAUUUUUUAAUGUGGAACACAUGAUAUCGUGUCGUCGAAAUUUUUUGGUAUCAAUGACCCGCUAAAACUAAUAACCAUUCGACGCAUAAUUAUGCAAAGAGUCGCCAGAGGAUAUUUUUGUUUUUUGUGUAACACGCAAGCGAUUUUUUUGAAUCUAUUUAUCUUAUUUUUUCCGAACAAACUUCACGGGAAUCUGCAUAAUUUCAACCGACUUGACGUACCGAUCUCUCUGUGAAUCUUAAAAGAAAACAAAACUGAUGUGAUCGAACGAAGUUUCAAAAAAUAAUUGAGAAAGUUUAGUACGAGCUAAACUAUCGCCAAUUCUGAACAGUUUACGAAGGGGUAAAAAAAUGUGUUCGAUCUCUUAUUAAAAAUAAAUGUCGAAUAAAAAUGAACUUUAAAAACUA